AAGUAUUAAAGGUCCCGCCUGCCCAGUGAAAUUUAUUAAACGGCCGCGGUAUUCUAACCGUGCAAAGGUAGCGUAAUCACUUGUCUUCUAAAUAAAGACCAGUAUGAACGGCUAAAUGAGGACAAACCUGUCUCUUACAACCAAUCAAUGAAACUGAUCUACCAGUACAAAAGCUGGUAUAUACACAUAAGACGAGAAGACCCUGUGGAGCUUAAGACAAAACACCAGUGCACAACAAAAACAUGGUGCAGAGUCUUCAGUUGGGGCGACUUCGGAAAAAAAUAAAACUUCCGAGCAGAAAUCCACAACAUUAAACCAAGGCAAACAAGCCUAACAUUCACUGACCCGGCCACGCCGAUCAACGAACCAAGUUACCCCAGGGAUAACAGCGCCAUCUUCUUUAAGAGUCCAUAUCGACAAGAAGGUUUACGACCUCGAUGUUGGAUCAGGACACCCAGGCGGUGCAGCCGCUGCCAAAGGUUCGUUUGUUCAACGAUUAAUAGUCCUACGUGAUCUGAGUUCAGACCGGAG
rnacentral:rRNA from 1 species